rnacentral:rRNA from 1 species
CCCUUAGAUGUUCUGGGCUGCACGCGUGCUACACUGAUAUUGCCAAUAUGUCAUUCUUAUCCGAAAUGGAUUGGGUAAUCAAGUAAUGAAAUUUCAUGCUUGGAAUCGGUAAUUGCAAUUUUAUCGUGAACGAGGAAUUCCUAGUAAGCACUAGUCAUCAGCUAAUGUUGAUUAUGUCCCUGCCCUUUGUACACACCGCCCGUCGCUACUACUGAUUGGGUGUUCAAGUGAGAUGCUUAGACACUUGUUGCAUGGUUCAUUAUUGUGCUCCGAAAGGAAAAAGUUUCAAGCUUGAGUGUCUAGAGGAAGUAAAAGUCGUAACA